rnacentral:rRNA from 1 species
AACGAACGCUGGCGGCAUGCCUAACACAUGCAAGUCGAACGAGACCUUCGGGUCUAGUGGCGCUCGGGUGCGUAACGCGUGGGAACCUGCCCUUAGGUUCGGAAUAACUCCCCGAAAGGGGUGCUAAUACCGGAUAAUGUCUUCGGACCAAAGAUUUAUCGCCUUUGGAUCGGCCCGCGUUGGAUUAGCUAGUUGGUAGGGUAAAGGCCUACCAAGGCGACGAUCCAUAGCUGGUCUGAGAGGAUGAUCAGCCACACUGGGACUGAGACCCGGCCCAGACUCCUACGGGAGGCAGCAGUGGGGAAUGUUGGACAAUGGGCGAAAGCCUGAUCCAGCAAUGCCGCGUGAGUGAUGAAGGCCUUAGGGUUGUAAAGCUCGUUUACCCGGGAUGAUAAUGACAGUACCGGGAGAAUAAGCUCCGGCUAACUCCGUG